rnacentral:rRNA from 1 species
GACGAACGCGGGCGGCGUGCUUAAUACAUGCAAGUGGGACGCAAGGGAACACACUGUGCUUGCACACCGUGUUUUCUUGAGUCGCGAACGGGUGAGUAACGCGUAGGUAACCUGCCUAUUAGCGGGGGAUAACUAUUGGAAACGAUAGCUAAUACCGCAUAAUAUUAAUUAUUGCAUGAUAAUUGAUUGAAAGAUGCAAGCGCAUCACUAGUAGAUGGACCUGCGUUGUAUAGCUAGUUGGUAAGGUAAGAGCUUACCAAGGCGACGAUACAUAGCCGACCUGAGAGGGUGAUCGGCCACACUGGGACUGAGACACGGCCCAGACUCCUACGGGAGGCAGCAGUAGGGAAUCUUCGGCAAUGGACGAAAGUCUGACCGAGCAACACCGCGUGAGUGAAGAAGGUUUUCGGAUCGUAAAGCUCUGUUGUAAGUCAAGAACGUGUGUGAGAGUGGAAAGUUCACACAGGACG